AUCGCUUCUCGGUUCUUUGGCUAAGAUCAAGUGUACAUGUCUGCUCGUAUCGGCUUAAUAUCUGAUACGGGCCUUAUUGAUCCAAUAUAUUAAACGUAUUUUUCUAAACGGUGUUCCACCGAAGCUUGCUUCGAGGUCGCCAGGGUUAGCCCGGUAUUAAACUAUACAUUGGGGAGUGGCUCGUACUCC
rnacentral:snRNA from 1 species